UACAAUAUUUUAACUCAUCGUCUUAUUUGAAAUUUUUUUGUGAUUAAUAUUUUUAUUGUUGCUAGAUAAUAAAAUAUAAAUAGUAUUUUAUACGUGACUAUUCCUUUUAAAGUUUUUUACAAUUUUUUCAAAUAAGACAAAUGGUCAAACGUUGGACACGGAAAAACA
rnacentral:pre_miRNA from 1 species